rnacentral:rRNA from 1 species
AUGCGUUGUUGGGUAGGGGAGCGUUCUGUAAGCCUGCGAAGGUGUGCUGUGAGGCAUGCUGGAGGUAUCAGAAGUGCGAAUGCUGACAUAAGUAACGAUAAAGCGGGUGAAAAGCCCGCUCGCCGGAAGACCAAGGGUUCCUGUCCAACGUUAAUCGGGGCAGGGUGAGUCGACCCCUAAGGCGAGGCCGAAAGGCGUAGUCGAUGGGAAACAGGUUAAUAUUCCUGUACUUGGUGUUACUGCGAAGGGGGGACGGAGAAGGCUAUGUUGGCCGGGCGACGGUUGUCCCGGUUUAAGCGUGUAGGCUGGUUUUCCAGGCAAAUCCGGAAAAUCAAGGCUGAGGCGUGAUGACGAGGCACUACGGUGCUGAAGCAACAAAUGCCCUGCUUCCAGGAAAAGCCUCUAAGCAUCAGGUAACAUCAAAUCGUACCCCAAACCGACACAGGUGGUCAGGUAGAGAAUACCAAGGCGCUUGAGAGAACUCGGGUGAAGGAACUA